UACAGAGGUCCCAAGCGUUGUUCGGAUUCAUUGGGCGUAAAGCGCGCGUAGGCGGCCCGGUAAGUCCGCUGUGAAAGUCAAAGGCUCAACCUUUGAAUGUCAGCGGAUACUGCCGGGCUAGAGUCCGGAAGAGGCGAGUGGAACUCCUGGUGUAGCGGUGGAAUGCGCAGAUAUCAGGAAGAACACCAACGGCGAAGGCAGCUCGCUGGGACGGAACUGACGCUGAGGCGCGAAAGCUAGGGGAGCAAACGGG
rnacentral:rRNA from 1 species